GAGUUUGAUCGUGGCUCAGAGCGAACGCUGGCGGCGUGGCUAAGACAUGCAAGUCGAACGGACCGCAAGGUCAGUGGCGGAAGGGUGAGUAAUGUAUGGGCAACCUGCCCCGGACAGGAGCAUAGCCGGUCGAAAGAUCGGGUAAUACUCCAUGACGUCCUGCGGUAGCAUUAUCGGAGGACCAAAGGUCCGCCGGUCCGGGAGGGGCCCAUAUUCCAUCAGCUAGUUGGCGGGGUAACGGCCCACCAAGGCUGCAACGGAUAGCCGGACUGAGAGGUCGGCCGGCCACAUCGGGACUGAGACACUGCCCGGACUCCUACGGGGGGCUGCAGUAACGAAUCUUCCGCAAUGGGCGCAAGCCUGACGGAGCGACGCCGCGUGCGGGACGAAGUCCUUCGGGA
rnacentral:rRNA from 1 species